GUCUACGGCCAUACCACCCUGAACGCGCCCGAUCUCGUCUGAUCUCGGAAGCUAAGCAGGGUCGGGCCUGGUUAGUACUUGGAUGGAGAUCUUUACCUGGAAACCUCAAUGCUUUUUUUU
ensembl:rRNA 5S_rRNA 5S ribosomal RNA